rnacentral:lncRNA from 1 species
AGACCGUGUCACCAGUGUCAGGCUGGGAGAUGCUACUGUUACAGGCCGUCCUCCGGGGGGCAUCACUCGACAUCUCCUUCUUUUCCCCCCACGCAGAUGACAGAGAUGGAAAUACUGAGGCGACAAUGUCGAGGAGAUCAUUAUAUGGACUGUACCCCUACAAGUCCAGCAUGCUUGGACUGGAGACUCUAGGCGAUCCAUCAGGUGACUGGGAUAUAGUGGAAACCAUUGGCAAAGGAACUUAUGGAAAGGUCUACAGAGUGACCAACAAAAAAGAUGGGAGCCAGGCAGCAGUGAAAGUGCUGGACCCGAUUAAUGAUGUGGAUGAGGAGAUUGAGGCAGAAUACAACAUACUGAGGUCCCUGCCCAACCAUCCUAACGUGGUGAAGUUUUAUGGCAUGUUUUAUAAGUCGGACAAAUUAACUGGCGGACAGCUCUGGCUGGUACUGGAGCUGUGCAACGGCGGCUCUGUCACAGAGCUCAUCAAAAGCCUGCUGAUGCGUGGCCAGCGUCUGCAGGAGCCUGUUAUCGCAUACAUCUUAUGCAGUGCCCUCUUGGGGCUCCAGCAUUUGCACAACAACCGGAUUAUCCAUCGUGACGUCAAAGGCAACAACAUCCUCCUGACAACUGAGGGAGGAGUCAAACUGGUUGACUUUGGUGUUUCAGCGCAACUGACGAGCGCACGACUGCGGAGGAACACGUCAGUCGGGACACCGUUUUGGAUGGCUCCUGAGGUCAUAGCCUGUGAACAGCAGUACGACUACUCCUAUGAUGCCCGCUGCGAUGUGUGGUCUCUCGGCAUCACAGCCAUCGAGCUGGCAGACGGAGAUCCCCCUCUGGCUGAGAUGCAUCCAGUAAAAGCCCUUUUCAAGAUCCCACGAAAUCCCUCACCCACAUUACGACAUCCUGAAGAGUGGAGCAGGAGUUUCAGCCAUUUCAUCAGCCAGUGCCUGAUAAAGGAUUUUGAGGCACGUCCAUCUGUGACCCACCUUCUGGAGCACCCUUUCAUCAAGCAGGCCCAUGGCAAGGACAUAGCUCUCCGUCAGCAGUUAGCAGCUCUCAUCCAAGAGCAGCAACAAAUAGGCUGCAAAACCAAAUCCAAGCAUCUCGUGUCCUUGACUUCAUACAGGCACGUCCGGAUCAAUACUCGUAAAACCCUCAUAAUAGAGAGCUGUCCUGAUGAUGAUCUGGUGAACCUGGAGUUCUUAGACGAGGAGACAAUCAUCAGCCAUCUCCACAAGAGGUAUGAUGAGCUGCAGGUGUACACUUACGUCGGUGACAUCCUCAUUGCUCUCAAUCCUUUCCAGAAUCUCAGCAUCUACUCUCCUCAGUUCUCUAAGCUGUACCAUGGCGUAAAGCGAGCUGACAACCCUCCACACAUCUUUGCUACUGCAGAUGCAGCUUACCAAGGCAUGGUGACAUUCUGCAAAGACCAGUGUAUCAUCAUUAGUGGAGAAAGCGGUGCUGGGAAAACAGAAAGUGCUCAUUUAAUUGUUCAACAUCUUACUUUCCUGGGAAAGGCAAACAAUCGGACACUUCGUGAGAAGAUUUUGCAGGUUAACCCUCUCGUCGAGGCCUUUGGGAACGCUUGCACGGCAAUCAAUGACAACUCCAGCCGCUUUGGCAAGUACCUAGAGAUGAAGUUCACGCCGACAGGAGCGGUUAUUGGGGCCAAGAUAUCUGAAUACCUGCUGGAGAAGUCGAGGGUCAUCAAACAGGCUCCAGGGGAGGAAAAUUUCCACAUAUUCUAUUACAUAUAUGCCGGCCUUUACCACCAAGACGAGCUGAAGACUUACAGCCUGCCAGAUGGGACACCUCCCAGGUUUCACUGCAAAGUGAUGCAAGACAUUGUGUCAAGGAAACAAUAUAAAGAGCAGUUUGAUGCCAUUCAGGAGUGUUUCCGAAAUAUCGGCUUUACAGAAGAGGAGGUCGACUCUGUUUACAAAAUUCUCUCAGCAAUUUUGAAUACUGGGAAUAUUGAAUUUGCCUCCAUCACAUCCCAGCAUCAGACCGAUAAGAGUGAAGUGCCUAACUCAGAGGCCUUAGAGAACGCUGCGUCUCUCCUCAGCAUUGGACCCGAGGAGCUCCAGGAAGCACUUACCUCUCAGUGUGUGGUCACGAGGGGCGAAACCAUCAUCCGCACCAACACCGUGGACAAAGCAGCCGAUGUCCGAGACGCCAUGUCCAAGGCCUUGUACGGACGGCUGUUCAGCUGGAUAGUGAAUCGCAUCAACUCACUCCUGCAGCCUGACAUGAAUAGCGGCAUGAAUGUGGGAAUCCUGGACAUCUUUGGAUUUGAAAACUUCCAGAAGAACUCGUUUGAGCAAUUGUGCAUCAACAUCGCAAACGAGCAGAUUCAGUUUUAUUUCAACCAGCACAUAUUUGCUCUCGAACAGAUGGAAUACCAGAGCGAGGAAGUUGAUGCCAGCCUGGUGGAGUAUGAGGACAACAGGCCCAUUCUGGACAUGUUUCUGCAGAAGCCCAUGGGUCUGCUGUCCCUGCUGGAUGAAGAGAGCCGCUUCCCUCAGGCCACCGACCAGACCCUAGUGGAUAAGUUUGAGGACAAUUUGCGCUGCAAAUAUUUUUGGAUACCAAAACGAGUGGAGCUUUGUUUUGGAAUUCAGCACUAUGCCGGACAGGUAAUGUACAAUGUGAAUGGCUUUUUGGAGAAAAACAGAGACACUCUCCCUGCAGACAUCGUUGUGGUGUUGAGGACGUCAGAGAACAAACUUUUGCAGCAGCUGUUUUCCAGCCCCUUAACUAAAACAGUCUGGCCUGAUCAUCAGUGCAGCGUGCUUAUUGUGACUGUUUGUGUUCAGGUGGACACCAUGGAGAUGAUCCGCCACCCAGGAGAAACCACCAACAUGAGGAGACAGACUGUGGCCUCCUAUUUCCGUUACUCCCUGAUGGACCUGCUGUCUAAGAUGGUCGUGGGCCAGCCACACUUUGUGCGCUGCAUCAAACCUAAUGAUGACAGGCAGGCACUGCUCUUCUGCAAGGAGCGAGUGAUGGUGCAGCUGCGUUACACUGGGAUCCUGGAGACGGUGAACAUCCGCCGCCAAGGCUACUCCCACCGCAUCCUGUUUGAAGACUUUGUCAACAGAUAUUACUAUCUUGCAUUUCGGGCUCACGAGAUGCCUGAAACCAGCAAAGAAAACGCUGUUGCCAUACUGGAGAGGGCCAAAUUAAAAGACUGGGUGCUGGGAAAGACCAAGGUUUUUCUGAAAUACUACCAUGUGGAACAACUGAACCUGCUGCUGCGGGAAGUGAUAGCUCGGGUGGUGGUGAUGCAAGCUUACACUAAAGGCUGGCUCGGGGCCCGGCGUUAUCGAAAAGAGAAGGAGAAGAGAAGCCGUGGGGCCACAAUCAUCCAGUCAGGUACAGGUAGGUCAGCAAUCUCUCGCACACACACAUACACACACUGUCUCUUUCUUUUCCCCUUAGCCUGGAGGGGCUAUGUUGCUCGGCAGAACCUCAAGCAAAUCAAAAAAGAGCGGGAAGAGGCAGCUGUCCGCAUACAAUCAGGUAAAGAAAUGUUUAAAUUUUCACAUGAGUUCAAAUAUUCAAGUGGAGACAUCUGGAAUUUCUCACGCGGCCCCAUGUCCGGUGGAAAUUCGCGCCACUGUUUUCAUACAUUUUCAAAAGGAAACGGGAUAAAGGCCUGGAAACCUUACAUCUUUGUGAAACACCUUUUUGAUCUCCAUGAGUGGCCUACGAAAUAG